GAUGAACGCUGGCGGCGUGCCUAAUACAUGCAAGUCGAGCGAACGGACGAGAAGUUUGCGUCUCUGAUGUUAGCGGCGGAGGGGUGAGAAACACGUGGAUAACCUACCUAUAAGACUGAGAUAACUUCGGGAAACAGGAGAUAAUACGGGAUGAUAUUUUGAACCGAAGGGUUCAAAGGUGAAAGACGGUCUUGCUGUCACUAAUAGAUGCAUCCGCGCUGCAUUAGCGAGUUGGUAAGGUAACUGUCUACCAAGGCAACUAUGCAUAGCCGACCUGAGAGUUAUGUCGGCCGCACUGGCACUGCAGCUCGCUCCACGCUGCUAGGUUAGUCAGCAGCUGGGUAGUUGCCGCCUGGUGCGGCAGCCUGUCAGAGCAACGCCGCGUGCGGUUAGAAGGCCUUCGGUUCGUAAGUCGCUGUUUUUGGGGACAAACAGAUGUGUAAGGAACUGUCUGCAUCUUGACGGUAACUUAUCAAAAAGCCCCGGCUAACUACGUG
rnacentral:rRNA from 1 species